rnacentral:rRNA from 1 species
CGUCGAGCGGCGGACGGGUGAGUAAUGCCUAGGAAAUUGCCCUGAUGUGGGGGAUAACCAUUGGAAACGAUGGCUAAUACCGCAUAAUGCCUACGGGCCAAAGAGGGGGACCUUCGGGCCUCUCGCGUCAGGAUAUGCCUAGGUGGGAUUAGCUAGUUGGUGAGGUAAGGGCUCACCAAGGCGACGAUCCCUAGCUGGUCUGAGAGGAUGAUCAGCCACACUGGAACUGAGACACGGUCCAGACUCCUACGGGAGGCAGCAGUGGGGAAUAUUGCACAAUGGGCGCAAGCCUGAUGCAGCCAUGCCGCGUGUGUGAAGAAGGCCUUCGGGUUGUAAAGCACUUUCAGUCGUGAGGAAGGUAGUGUAGUUAAUAGCUGCAUUAUUUGACGUUAGCGACAGAAGAAGCACCGGCUAACUCCGUGCCAGCAGCCGCGGUAAUAC